CGUACUGUCACGGGGUUAGCUUUUCCGCCUCAAAAAUCCCCGCGCGGCGCUCAAGUGUCGCACACCCGAGCCAGCCUUCUCGAGUCCCUUACACGGACAAGUCUCCCCGACUUAACAGCGGAAUACCAAUCCAAGCAUUUUGCCAAGCUUGCUCCUCCUCGAGACUUAUAGCCCGACCCUCGCCUGUAAUCGAACCCCUCGUCGGACUCCUCGAGUUCCCAACGAGCAACCCCAAUAUCGAGGUUGGCCACCAAGCUAGGUGCAUCCUGUUUUGUCAACCAAACCCUCCUCGAGAGUGCUCUGUAGCUGAAUGCCUUGUUGCCUUCCUCGCCAGCCCAAGGACAUUACAAGUUCUCCCCCAACUUGUACAAUAUGAGUAUAGCCGAGCGUCUCGCCUCCCACGCGUCUCGCUCCCGCGACUCAACCCGCACGCCUCUAGCGUCGAGGUCCGGGCUUCGCGACAUCGCAUGCCACGAAGGGCACUCAUAACCAUAAGUUCCACCAUCGUGUCUCCCGCGCCUGACAACACCCAUGGCCAUACCGCCUACGCGGCCUGCUCGCUCGGUCCAACGGCUUACCUCCGAAAAGCCACCCAAGUGUGCGCCACAAGCUUGCUUGCCCCAACAUCAGCACCUCAGCGUGACACCACGCACGUCCGUGCUUCGCACCUCCGUGCUUCGCAUUCGACCCGUGCGGCCCUCGUGUCCCAUCGCUCCUGAAUAGGGAACCAACAAGUCCACACCGUGCUUCUCGACCGUCUCAUCGACCCUCGCUUUGCCACGGCGCUCCGCGCCCUUGACUCCCAUAGGUUCGCCUCAUAAGGCCCCAUACAAACGAACCGGCCUCGCUCCGCAUCGCUAGCCACUGGCCCCUCCUUGGCUCGACCACGCCUGGCCGCUUACCCCAUUGGUCCAGUCUCUCAAGGUUCACUAUACGGAUACCGAUACCGCUUGCCUCCUUGGGUUCCGCCCCUCGAGUCUCGUAGGCCACCCGCCUUACGAAUUCUCCCUCGGCAUGCCUCCCUUUAGCGUCCCUAUCGAGUCUCGCCUCCUUGGCCUUCGUGGGCGCCGCGCCCCACGAAUCCCCGCUCGGCACCCUUGCCUUCGCGAGCCUUGUCCUUUACGGAGGACCAUCCGUCGCUAGACUAUCCCUCAUCCGCUCGUACGCUCCACUACAGAGAUCCAAGCCGGCAUAAGGUAGCGCAAGCGAUCCUAGGGAGGAAGCCUCCCGGUAUUCCCCGCUUCCGUAAUGUCGUCGACCUCUCGCGUCUCCGACAUUACCCUAGGCCCGUGUCCCUUCAACCGUCCAUUAACCGGCUACACGGAACGCUAGGCUUGGCUACUCCGCUAGCCAAGGGACGACCCAUAUCCUAUGGGUCGACGGGGGAGUCGGGGCCACUUACGAAGUGUCCACCCCUCCUCUAAUACCCUUACGAGGCAUCCACUCCUUUGGCACCCCGGGGGUACAAAGGUGCUCACCGAGGGGUACGUUUUCAAGCCCCGCAUGCGGCACCUAUUUCCAAGUCAUGGCAUGGGCCAUUGCUAGGGAAUUGCCUCCGUUGACUUGACAGCGACUCCUACCUGACGGAACGCCUCAACUCCGCAACUCCAUAACUUCGUCAACCCAAAUGCCUACCAAGUAUGGCCCACAAAGGUGUCACGGUCGAGACCCAACGAUCGACCCGUGACAGUACGGCACGAGCGGCAUUUUGAACCUUGAUAAUAAUAUUAUAAUACUAAUCCAAGUGUCGAAACGCAAAAAAUCGCGCCUGCGGUGUUUCGAUCGGCUCGUCAAAUGGCACCAAAUCCCUUUCCUCUUCUUCUUCUUCUCUUUUUCCCCUUUCUCUUCUUUCCUUUUCUCUCUAUACGUACAGGUUGAAGGUGGAGGGAAGCUUCAAGAGGCUUCCCUGGCAACUUAGUGGAAUUCCACUACGGUAACAAUAUGCCAAUAAGUCCAUAAGCCAUCAAUAUUCUCAAUUUGCUCUAAUUUCAAUUUGAUACUUUUAAUUGCAGCCCUUCUGAAUGUCCGUUUGCGGUACAACUCUUGUGGGUACUCAUGCCAUACUCGUGCCCUCUCCGCAAACAACUUUUGUCACCCCAAUGCCUCCACAAUCGCACAACGUCGAGCUCUCCCCAUGGUCUCCCCAAGCUUUCAAGCCUUUCGUCGGGACUAGCCGGCCUCGACUACUUCCUGCUCUACUGACUUCCCCACGGACUCUUGUCAUGCCUCCUGACUGCUUUGCAUUUCGACUACUUGUUGAUGCACGGCACCUUUAGCCUUUAUCCCACAAGCCUGCUCAAGCCCUACUUCGUUAGGCUCUCGCAGAACUCCACUUCGAUUCGCAAUCAAAGUGUUCGGCCAAGUUCGAGCCAAUCGGACACCUUGUCUCUUUUCGCUCGCAACUUGCCAUAUCCCAACUCUAGGGACACCACCCUCAUGAUUGAACGCUGAACGGAACUCAGUUCACUCUCUGCUUAGUCUGAACCGCAAGUCUGGUUGCCACGGCAAUGCCGCUACCCUGCGCGCACCGCCCUUACAGAACUUCGAUACCUCGACCCUUCCCGCAGCUGCGAACUGUCCAAACUCCAGCCAGCACCAUGAUCCUGGGUGAAUCCACACACCACUCAACCCGACUAAGGAUGUCUCAUCCGUCCAACUCGUGGGCACAUUGUAAAGAGCAACCGAUCUCCACACCGGCCUUCUCGCACCAAGAGAAGUACUAAGCUCUCUCGCAAUCCUAGGUCCCCUUCACAACCUAGUCCAACGCCUAGCUGUUACUACCAUGGAUUCGUCGGCCUAGACUUCCAACUUGAGCUCCACGAAGCAAACUCUUUUACCACAUGUGUUGUAUCCCACUUCCUGUCAUAGACGAGCUCCUUCACCGAGUCUUUGCGCAUGGGAGCACUUAAUGAACAAACGUGCUCCCCCACUCUGAGUCGCUCCACCACCAAGCGCACUCAGAUCUCCCCGGCAUUCUCAAUGCCCCACAUUCCGCUCUGCUAGCUCCGGCUCUGCCACAACCUUCACUAUUCCCUCAAGCGGAACCCAUGUCAUCCAUCCAAUGGAUACAUGUAUGCUACCUCGAGUCACCAACGCUGUCACCGUUCUGCUCGAAGCUAGCCUUACCACCUCACUCCGCGAGUUAAGGUUUCAACCUCAAUCCAUUCUCUCGCACAAGGAUGCCUUCUCAUUCCAUAUCAUGGGCACACUCCAAAGAGUCAUCGAUCUCCCCAUCGAUCUUCCUUUUACCAAGAGAGAAGUACUGGUUCAUCGAGUAGCCCUUUGGUAAUCCCGCAACUUUGGUCGAAGCUGCUCCCAACGAAGACUACUGCCCGUCAGACUUCAAACUCAGCUUUCACGAAGUAAACUCUUUCGCCCAGUGUUUCACCGCCCAAUCCAUAUCCUUUCGAGAAGCACCAUCGUCGAGGAUUCACAUUUGGGAAUACAUCUCCACCUUAUGUACUCCCCCACCCUGAGUCGUAAGCACCUCUGUACAACUCAGUAUCCUUGGGCAUUCGCAAUACCCAACUCCGCGGCAACCCAACCACGGACCGCAAACUGAUUCUUCCUAAUCAUUGCCCCAUCGUCUGCCACACGACUAAGGCCUUAACCAUUUCUCCAUCCUGAGAAUGACUUGGAAAUCCUCACAGGGUACCGACAUGAACUUGGCUUUCGUCCCACCACGAGUCCACACCAACAAGCACCUCCCUCGCAAGACCCGCAAUCGGCUGGGCCUCCGAGCUCCUCGCUGUUAUCUGACUCUCAUCCAUGCGUGGUGCAAGUCCGAACCGCCCGGCUUCACUCACCGCAAAGAAUUCGUGGGUAGUACCAAUAUCCAUCGCAACUUAACUCCGCAUCUCUCACAAGCGAAGUAUUGUCCCAAUGCAUUGUCGGCUCCAAGUCCUUUCGUCAGAGUGACUCUGCUCACUCCAACUUCGCCGCCAAGGUCGCACCUUUCGGCCAAACUUCCAUCCCAAAUGAGCUCAACCUGGCUCUGAUACCACUUGUCACGGGGUUAGCUUUUCCGCCUCAAAAAUCCCCGCGCGGCGCUCAAGUGUCGCACACCCGAGCCAGCCUUCUCGAGUCCCUUACACGGACAAGUCUCCCCGACUUAACAGCGGAAUACCAAUCCAAGCAUUUUGCCAAGCUUGCUCCUCCUCGAGACUUAUAGCCCGACCCUCGCCUGUAAUCGAACCCCUCGUCGGACUCCUCGAGUUCCCAACGAGCAACCCCAAUAUCGAGGUUGGCCACCAAGCUAGGUGCAUCCUGUUUUGUCAACCAAACCCUCCUCGAGAGUGCUCUGUAGCCGAAUGCCUUGUUGCCUUCCUCGCCAGCCCAAGGACAUUACAAGUUCUCCCCCAACUUGUACAAUAUGAGUAUAGCCGAGCGUCUCGCCUCCCACGCGUCUCGCUCCCGCGACUCAACCCGCACGCCUCUAGCGUCGAGGUCCGGGCUUCGCGACAUCGCAUGCCACGAAGGGCACUCAUAACCAUAAGUUCCACCAUCGUGUCUCCCGCGCCUGACAACGCCCAUGGCCAUACCGCCUACGCGGCCUGCUCGCUCGGUCCAACGGCUUACCUCCGAAAAGCCACCCAAGUGUGCGCCACAAGCUUGCUUGCCCCAACAUCAGCACCUCAGCGUGACACCACGCACGUCCGUGCUUCGCACCUCCGUGCUUCGCAUUCGACCCGUGCGGCCCUCGUGUCCCAUCGCUCCUGAAUAGGGAACCAACAAGUCCACACCGUGCUUCUCGACCGUCUCAUCGACCCUCGCUUUGCCACGGCGCUCCGCGCCCUUGACUCCCAUAG
rnacentral:lncRNA from 1 species